CCAAAUGACCGCAUUAUACUAGGCACAGUACACACACACACACACACACAUGACUUUGAGACAAGAUGUAAUUGCAAGUAUGACAAUCAAAAGCAAGAGAGGAAGGACAAGGGUAACUAUCACAGCAACCUGUUCGGGCUGAUGGCACACGGGUUGGAAAACGUCCUCAGAACCCCUGCCAUUGCUGCAAGAGAAGGCUGGCCUGUAGCUGGAUGGUGAGGAAGUCUCUCCUUUAGGAGCUUCUUGCAGACAUAAGCACUCGAUCAACAUACAAACACUCCCCACACCCAUGCAUCUGCCCUUUGUCAACAGGAAUUCUAUUGGGUUGUAGAUUUUCAAACAGGUGAGGGGGAGCCACUAAAUUAAAUGUGGGUAACUCUGGUGGAAUUUUUGUGACAAUAUAUCUAGUAAUCAGAUCUUUAACUUCCAGCCUAUUGCAUAAUAUAAAGAAAAUCUGCAAUGAAAUACACACAGCUAGAUGGAAAGUGAAAGGUUAUCAUUGGCAGGGUAUGAUGAGCCUCUGUUUGGAUGGGGACAUACCUGAUGGAUGACUCAGUCCCUUGUGCAAGAAC
rnacentral:lncRNA from 1 species